UCCAUACAAGUAAAAGUUUGUAAUAAAAUUAGAUUACGUCCUCGUAAAUUUCUAAAUUUGCCAUUAAAAAAAUCGCAUUUAUUUGAAGCAAUGGUAACAUAAAAUAAAUGCAAGAUUAUUUUACUUUUAAUCAUUCGAAAUUUUAUCGAGAUGAGAAUUUUGCGUAUUUACUGUUGCCCAUUCCGUGAGCGCAGUUUAGCACCCGAGGGGUCACCUCGAGAACUGGUCUCCUCCAGCCUAAACUCUUCAUUGGCCUAACGAACACGCUAAGAGUAAAAUUAAACGCAAGCGUUAUUGGAGUCGAAAGGAUCGUCGGAACCCAUUCGCGCAGCAUAACAACGAAAACGAUUCCGUGGAGCGUGACAACGAGGCUUUAACAAAGAGCACAAAGACUCGUACCUCGUCGGAGAGGCUACUCGCGUCGGAUUUUGCGCCGUACGAUCUCGAGCGAUGGUCGCACGCGAUAACAGUAAAAUCCAGGUUAAGGCAAAGCCAGAAAUGAGCACACUACCUCAAAACAACAAACAGAAGAUAAUAUCACUGCACGUCGAACACUCGAACCAUACAUUAUUAAAAAUAAUAACGGAUGGACCAGCUACCCGGCGUUUUAAUUUCCACGUCGAUGCUCCAAUUGAUACCUGACGUACCCCCACUCGAGCCGAACGGAACUGGUUCUCUCGAGUGAGUCACCGUCCCCCUUGGGUUUUAUCCAGCCGUGGAGAUGUGAAAUCGCGCAAGGUGGAUGGGAAAACGCGAGGGUAUGACGGGUUAGGAGCCGAACGCGACCUAGAAAGUCGGUGCAACAGGUGGCAGCAGGUAGAGCCAACGGGGGAUGACGACCUGGUGACUCAUGGGGUUGCUCCGGGAAUGUUGAUCGUUCUUCUUUGGCCCCUUUCCCCUCCUUUCGACAGCGUCUUUACCUGGAUGACUCACAUUCCACUCACACAGCCGUACGCGCAUUCUUACACCUGAGGAAACACGAGGACCCCCGUUUCUUUUUCAGGCCUAUUCAUUCACCGACUGGAUCCUUGCUUCCUUUCUUCGAGACUCCGUCAUAAGGGGAUGUCAGUCUAUUUUCUCUUCGAAUGUACUUCUCCAAUGUUACAGAAGCUGUGGAAUAUCGGACGACUCACAGAGUGAAGGUCACCACGCUGAGAUGUCAAGCCUUACCUUUGGUAAUCUUGCAGACCGAAGACCAACUAAACAGACAAACCGUUAAAGCUAAUAACCAUGGAUUGAAUGGAACCGAGAAGGGUCAAGGUACAAUUCCAGAAGGGUUGAGUAAUACCACAUAGAUUGUAUUUUUAAUUUAGCAGCAUAGGUGUUAAAUGCCAUUGCCAUUCUCUAAUCGCGUCGAUUACCCGCGAGGAAUGUCGUUCUUAUCUUUCUCUCACGCGCUCCAUACCAAUAACCGCUGUCACUCAUAACUAUACUGUUACACCAUUAAAUAAUGAUAGUCCGCGAGAUUGAUACCCAUAUCAAACGCGUCAUUCGUGGCUGCCCAUACCAACACGGCGCCCAGAGCACAACAUACGUGCAGUCGUGAGCGAAUUUGUCGCUCCCUCGCGAACACUUUUCGCAUUCGUAACACGGCGAUAUUAAUACUGACAGCCUCGCAAGGAAUCGCUCCAACAUCGAGUACAUCGUUAAACACGGCUCUCAAUUGCCAAUCUAAAAAAUUAGGCCUGGAUUAGAUGAGCGUUAGGCCCGAGAUAGAGUCGAGUAGUUACGCACACCUAGGAUAGCAGAGAAUGGGGAGCCUGUCUCCUCAUCAUUUUUAUCGCGAGCAUCAAGAUUUUAUUAAAUUACACUGUAUCGAUAUCGGGAAGUAUUAGGUCUACCAGAAGGUUCUGUCCAUUUUUAGAAUAAAACAAAAUAAUACAUUUUUCAUGCCUUGAAUAAAUUUGAUCGAAUAAUAUAAUUUUGAUCGUUAUUUAUGACAUGUUGUCAGCGCGAUUGCAAUUUCUAUAUCAUUUUUAGCAAAUAUGCGCAUACUUGUUGAAAGUUGUUGCAACCGAAACCGACAGAAUUUUCCGGUAGACCUAAUAUUAUUGUAGAAAAGUGUAUUAUUGUGUUUUGAUUACUCUAGAUUAGAUAAUUGAGUUAAAGUUUGUAUUAAAAUUGCAUUGUACUUAAGAUUGACUCUAAGUUAAAUUCAAAUUACUUGUGAUGUACUUUUACUUCUAGGUCUGUUAAAAUUAGUUUAAAAGCAGCAUUGUAAACAAUCUUCGACUCAACUGUAUUCUCAGCGCAUCAUUUUACACGAUUGUCCCUGCUUGUACAUCAAAGACGACAAAUAAAUAAAUACAAAAUAAA